UAUGGAACCUGUUGGACGAGAACUGAAGUCAGUUGGGAAGUUCAUGGACUCUGCUGUCGAUCUUAUGAACAAAUCUUUCAUUGAUCGUUAGUACUUUCCAUUGGAGUGGCUGCAGUUCACCAGUUGUUAUAUCAACUACUUUGAGGCUUGUCAAAAACUAAUGAAGCUGGUUAUAGAGAUCAUCAGUUCAGUUAAUCCUACUACAAAUGUUAUCUAUUUAAGGAGGUCCUAUUUGUAUUUUCAAGACUUGAAAUCUACUGUACAUUCGAUAGCUACAUGGAAUUGUGGCUUUUUGAAAAAG
rnacentral:misc_RNA from 1 species